ACUGACAGGAAAAGGGUAAUACCCAGAGGGGAAACCUAUACCCUUUGGCGGCCUUCAUUCUAAUUAAAGGAACUUGUUAAAUAAUCGAAACUACCCGUUCAAUUUCCCUUUUCGUAAGCUUUUAUACCGUCGUCUCAAGAGUCAAUUUUCAUAUUAUUCUCAAAAUCGGGCUAACCGGUUAAGUCAGAUCAAGGUGAAGCUAAUAGAAAAGAAUUAAUGAGUUAUUUAUAAACACUAUUUAAAGAUUUUUCCCUAAAGAACAAAUGAAUUAAGAUUUAAAAGUACCUCAAUAUUAUAAUUUUUGAGGAAAAAAGUAAAUAAAGGUGU
rnacentral:rRNA from 1 species